rnacentral:rRNA from 1 species
AAAUUGAAGAGUUUGAUCAUGGCUCAGAUUGAACGCUGGCGGCAGGCCUAACACAUGCAAGUCGAACGGUAACAGGAAACAGCUUGCUGUUUCGCUGACGAGUGGCGGACGGGUGAGUAAUGUCUGGGAAACUGCCUGAUGGAGGGGGAUAACUACUGGAAACGGUAGCUAAUACCGCAUAACGUCGCAAGACCAAAGAGGGGGACCUUCGGGCCUCUUGCCAUCGGAUGUGCCCAGAUGGGAUUAGCUAGUAGGUGGGGUAACGGCUCACCUAGGCGACGAUCCCUAGCUGGUCUGAGAGGAUGACCAGCCACACUGGAACUGAGACACGGUCCAGACUCCUACGGGAGGCAGCAGUGGGGAAUAUUGC